rnacentral:lncRNA from 1 species
UUUAUGAAAGUCCCUUCUGCCAGCACACAUACCUCAAACCACCCUUGGAGAAUUUCUUGUCUCUCCCAGCAACCAAGACCUCAUCCGACGAGCUUCCUGCUUAAAACCUCGCCCGACGACCAUGCAAACUUUUCUUACUUAAAUUCUUAUUCUUUGCCUCUCCUUCACUUCGUUGGGCGAGCUCGCCCUCACUUUGCUCCUUCUCGCUGGGCGAGCUUG